ACCGUUGUCAUUGGGGAGUAGCCAUCCUUGCCCCAAGGAGUUUGCGUCAACACACUUGGCGGUCCGCGGACCCCAUGGCGCAAACGGCCUUCGCCACGGCCGCGCUUGCCGCGCGCCGGGCGAAUCCGCCAGGCGAGACCUUUGGCCACGACGCGCU
rfam:Bordetella bronchialis strain AT17976, complete genome.